rnacentral:lncRNA from 1 species
GCCGCGGGGGCUCCCAUCCCAUCCGCCGCGGGCAGCCCGGCUCCAAGUGCCGCGUUAAUUACCAGCAACUCCCCCUGGGGAGAGCCAAAGCCAACUGGGGUCACCAUGGAAACCCAGACGGCUGCAGUGUGGCCAGAUUGUUAACGGGCUCCCGGCGAGCUCAGCCAAUUUCCUUUCUGGGGAAGCGGAGGAGGAGCGGGCCGGGGUCUUGCACCGCCGCGUGGGACUGGGAAGGCCCAGAAGGGGGGACGGCGGUUUUCCUGAAGGUGGAAAAAGCUCGGCCCUUGACGCCCAGCGCCGGGGGACUUCGACGCCCAGGCCCGACUUCUGUCAAGACCCUCAGCAAACCCCGAAGGCCAAAAGAAAUAUGGGGGGGAUGAGGGGAAGGUGGGACACCUGCAGUCCUUCCUGCGCCCCUGGCCAUCGCACCUUCCCCAGGCGGCGGACUUCCUAGCAACCGUGGCUCGCCAGUGGCUUUAGCCCUUGCCUUCUGCUCCCGCCCGGUCUCCCCUCCAGCCUUCAUUCUCGCUCCCUCAUUGACCAUUCCAGCGGCCCCUUUCCUUCCGCUGACCAGGGGGGUCCCCUCGCCUUUAGGAGCCCCCACUGCCCCAGGAGCCCGGACGCUGCCUCCCACGGUGGGGCUCCGGCCUGACUUCUCAUGCUCAUUUCUUACUUUCAGCCGCUCUCCCUGGCUCUUCGGCCGUUCUCUCUCCGGCCUGUUGGGGAACACGGCGGUCUCCAGAGAAACAUUCUGGGUGUGCCAAAGGGCGACGCCAGGCAGCAGCAACAUGUGGAGCCAUGUGCGUGAAGUGGGAUGAAAAAACUGAGGCUGAGAAGCAGUAAAUAGCCUGCCCAAGGUCACACGGAGGAAAAAAAUGCCAGAGCUAUGACCCACACUGGAUCUGUAUAUCCAUCGCUUUUCCACGGGAUCCCUCUGCCUCCCCAGGGCAGUUGAAGGGUUAAGUAGCCCGGUGCAGGAGCAUUCUGCUUAUUAAACCCAUCCAUCAGCAGACCCAAGUAACCUCAUUCUGUCCUGCUAAGCAAGCGAGCUAGGCAGGUCAGCCAUGGACAGCCCGCAGGAGGAAUGGGGGACGAGGGGCAGGAACUCCCAGUUGGGCCCCACUGCUUUGGCAUAG